ACUUUUGAUUGAAUCCACGAUGUUUCAUGUCAUUCUACAGAUACAACAGUACAACACUAAUUUGAAUUAUGGGAAUGGUGUAAUAGUUAUUUUUCCAUCUUCGUUUUAGGUCAUUAACUGUAGUAUUUUUAGAGAAAAUUGCCCAUCUUCCACAUAUAUAGUUGAAUGGCAUCCUCUAUUUUUCCACCAAGUUGAGUGGCUUUUCUAAAAUGCAACAAACUUCAUGUGGGUAUCGGAUGAUUUGCCACUCUUUCACAGGAAGUUACAUAGUCGCCCUCUUCUUCUACCUCCCAAUUCUUCUUCCUAUCUCAAGCUUUGGUCAUGGUCACUUGUGUCGCACCGUCGAGGUUGCAAGGAGAGGUUCCGUGCAGCAGCAAGUGAGGAGCUUCUCGAUGUCUGGGGUGAACACUAGCAGCUCAUGGUCAUGAGCAAAAACAAUGAGCAGUUGCAGAUCAAGUCUCCAAGCUGCAUGGCAAGCGGCAGUGGGUGAGCAGAAGCAGCUCAAGGUCAGGAACAGCGGCGGCGACUUGAGAUUGUGAGCAGUGAUGGCAGUGGGCUUGCGGUUACUCGCAUCUGGAAGCAUCGUCAGCAGAUGAACGAUGGCUUGCAUCUGCGAGCAGCAACAAGACAACAACAGCGAGUUUGUUUCUGGCCAGAUAGGGGAGGAAGUGAUGAUUUUACUAGAUGGAUGAGGAAGAAGAGGGCAAUUUGGUUCUAUAUCUGUCAAAAUGUGGCAAAAGAGAGGAAAUACGUUCAACUAUGUGGCAUUUUAGCAAAACCACUAAACUUUGUGGCAAAAUAGAUACACUCACUAUGGGGCAAUGGAACAAUUUUCCCUCUUUUUUUUAAAAUUUGUUUGGGUUUCCCUGUGGUAUAGUUCCCACUCGUGUUUUUUAGUUUUCUAUUCAUCAUUAUUGGUCUUGCAGCUUUUGGAGGAGGAUGUUGCUUUGAAGAGGUUUAAAUCAUACAAAAGCAAGGCGAAACAGGUCUUGAGGGCCAGGAAUGCUCUUACCAGCGUUGUUCUUUGUGUUCCAUUCGGUGUUCCAUACCAGAAUAACAGAAGGAUACCGACAAUGCGGGUCUAUUGCACUGCUGAUGAAGAAGUAGAGGAAGUCAGUGACUUGGGAGUCAACGUGGCACUAUCCAUGCUAAAAUUUUACAAAAGAGAAAUAUCGCCCUUACUACCCUCAAGCUGCCGUUAUGUGCCAACUUGCAGUGAGUACUCUAUGCAAGCAUACAAAAAAUACGGUGUUGCAAAGGGUACAAUCUUGACAGCUUGGCGGCUAUGCCGUUGUAAUCCUCUUGGUGGUCAUGGAUAUGAUCCCCCAAGGUGGUUUGGCGAGGAAGAGUUGCCCAAGGAAUGAUGACCUGGUAACUACUAGAGAAUGUGCGCCCAUGCCCUAUGGUCGUUUUGUAUACAGUUAAAUGCGAUAUUGGACAGUGUAGUUCCAGAAUGUUUUUAGAUGUCAGAUUAAGUAUUUACAAGGAUGUCCUCCAUUUCAUGUUCGAUCAUUCAAAUGGAGCAAGAAAGGAUGCUCAGGAGUUUUACUGCAUCUGCCAAUUUCAAGGGGAACUUAUAUGUUAACAGUGCGUCAUCUCAUGCCGUACUGAGAAGGUGUUCAGAUGUUUGGAAUUUCUACGAGGAAGAUUGUUAUGAUAAAUGGUAAUUGACUUUCGAAUAUGCAGUCCAACACUUCAAAACCACGUCUUGAGUCAGAGUUGUGCUGGUUUAUCAGUACAACCGAGGAAUCAUUUCCCCAGGAGUCCCAUUGGAUUUUUCAUCUGAUAGGAAGGAGCAGUGAUGCCUGUGGUACUCCAUGCCUCCAUGCCAUGUGAAGCUCUUUCAUUCUUCAAGAUUGCUUUUAUCAUCGAAGACAUGCACAUCUUGAUUCUGUAGCCACACUCUUGUGCUCCCGUCCUAUCAAAAGCAGCAAUGAUCAAUUGAUCAUUGAAUAUAAUGUGAUGGGAGAGCAGAGGACUCUGUUGUAUUGAUACAGGGGACCAGCCAAAACUACACUACAUCAGUAUAAAAUAUAAUUUAGUGAUGUACUAGCUGAGAACCAUUUGACAGAGUUAAUGAUGUAGCAAAGGUAAUUUUAAAAUUUGACCCACUCAGUUUGACAGAUAAAUAUGUGCAAAUAUUAGAUCUUUGUAAAGUGAGGUGCAAGGGCAACUUCACAACCACAUGGUGAAUUAUGUCACUAUACUCAGUGAGUCACUGAUGCAAAAGAGAUGGGAGAUAAGCAUCUGUACGCAGCAGCACUGCUCCAGUGUUAUUCAUUUUGCCUGUCCACUCCAGAGUGAGAUAAGUAUUUUAAUUAGUACUAGCAUUUUC